rnacentral:tRNA from 1 species
GGUUGUGGUUCAAUGGUAGAGUGCUCGCCUAGCAUGUGUGAGGCACUGGGUUCAAUACUCAGCACCA